rnacentral:rRNA from 1 species
GAUGAACGCUGGCGGCGUGCUUAACACAUGCAAGUCGAACGGUGAAGCCAAGCUUGCUUGGUGGAUCAGUGGCGAACGGGUGAGUAACACGUGAGCAACCUGCCCUGGACUCUGGGAUAAGCGCUGGAAACGGCGUCUAAUACUGGAUAUGAGAUGCGUCCGCAUGGUCGUGUUUGGAAAGAUUUUUCGGUCUGGGAUGGGCUCGCGGCCUAUCAGCUUGUUGGUGAGGUAAUGGCUCACCAAGGCGUCGACGGGUAGCCGGCCUGAGAGGGGGACCGGCCACACUGGGACUGAGACACGGCCCAGACUCCUCGGGAGGCAGCAGUGGGGAAUAUUGCACAAUGGGCGAAAGCCUGAUGCAGCAACGCCGCGUGAGGGAUGACGGCCUUCGGGUUGUAAACCUCUUUUAGCAGGGAAGAAGCGAAGGUGACGGUACCUGCAGAAAAAGCGCCGGCUAACUACGUGCCAGCAGCCGCGGUAACAC